UCUGUGGGCUUUUUUAUAUGCAGCCGAAUAUUGUUUGUGUAAGUCAUAAUAUUUACGCAGGAGACGCCCGGGGAAUGAAGUUGAACCUCUGCCGCGCUGUGAGCGCAGAACCUCGGGUUCAGACCACGGAACGACUCCAGACAUGCUGGGACCGUCAUUUCACAAGUAAAAGCGCUCGGAUGCCAUUCCACAAUGGGUCUGUCCUACACAGCACAUGGGAGCCAGUCAACGGCGCCCCACCCUGCGGCUGAGAAGGCAGGGCCGGUCCGUCACGAUAUCCUGAUGCUGUCUGAGCCGUCAAUAAUAGGAGAUGAGACAUAAACCACAUUGGCGAGGGCAUGAGCAGAGGCUUGGUGGGCCGCCGUUGCAGGCUGGAGUGGGCAGGCAUGUGGCUUUGACCACAGGAAGCUGUGAAUUCUUUGGAGAAUGGAAGAUGUCUUACAGGGAUACAUACUAGAGUCACGCAAGGAAGGAAAUCAGCCACGGUCUGCUACAAGUGGCGAGGUCCGAGAGAGAAUAGCAGCAAGCCCGUCAGAGGCGCACCUCCAGAACCAGCUGGAUUUUUGAGGACUUAAUUUACCUGAGCGCUGACGUAAACUCAAAGUAAACAGAAAACUGCAAACUUUGCAGCACAAAUGAAUCCUAUUCAAUCCCCACUUUUUCUUUCAGCACAAGGAAACUGCCUGGCAAAACAUAACCCAAAUUGGGUGAAAUCACAAACCCAACGCUGGGUUGAAAAGAGACAGAGCCAAUGCUGGGUUAUUUAUACAAGUUGGCAAGUCGACCCAGCGCAACGUGGUUAAGAUUUUGAUCCAAUAAAAGGUGUGGACUCUAUAUCGUGGGCGUUUGGGAAAAACAGACAGCUGGUCCGACAGACAACCACAUGGUUUCGUUUGACGUCUGCUAAUUCCAGGGAAUCAAUCCUAAAUGACACCUAUGGGAUACACAGGGUGGAUUUGCCUCUGAUGUCGAUUGUGGUGGUUUGCAGAUGAAAGACAGUCAAAUAAAUAAAGCCGCGGCAAGCCGGCAGAACUCUUCUGUCCACGCGGCCCAACCAUAAUGGGAUACAUACUGACACCCUGAGCUGGAGUCCUGCUCACUUUGAGAAACAUGUCUCUUGUGGAAGAAAGGAGCAAGUUACGUACUGUAAUGAGCGGACUAAUUAUCAGGAAGCGAUUCUGUUCCUCGUCACGCUCGGCCGAUGCUGUUUUAAUCCCCCAAACACUUUGCUGAAUUAAACUCAGCUGUAUCAAAUAGCCAUUUAAACUCCUCCAAUCAAUCUUUUCAUCAGCUUUUGUGUCUGCGUAUUGCCUACAGUAAGAAUAGUAAUGGUAAGACGAUCCCGGCUUGUUUCAUCCUGGCUGAGAUCACGCAUGUCUCUCCUAAAGUCCGCUGCUGUUCCCCACAGCGCCGCUACAAGAUUGUGACGCAUAACAAUGCAGUAGAGAUGCUGAAAAGCAUAUUGUGGCAUCAAACCCAACAAUUAGAUUGUGUCUCGUCCCCGUGAAGAAAAUUAACGACUAUUUGUAAGUGCACACGAUGCAUGUAACAUCGGGGCAUUAUCAACGUUGGUGCCACGGAGGUGAUUUAUUUCGAUUGUGGUUGACUCCCGUCUGAUGCUCUUCAACAAAUCACAGCCUGAGGUCUGGCUAGACCAACAGCACACUUUGUCUGCGUCUCCCCCACAUGACCCCCGCGUAGAUGUUGAGUGGAGCCAGUGAAGGACAUCAUUCAGGCGUUGUGUAUACAUGCAAAUAGCUCUACCUGGACGAUGCAUAUUUGUAUGUACAUUUGUACAUUUUUUACCUACAGUUGUGUGUUUUUGUGAUAAUUUAGUCGACCGUGGCCACCAGCAGUGCCGCCUGACCCAGGGGCUCCGGGUGAUAAGACCUCCAUAACUCUACUUUAUCCCCCCUGCUCAUUAUCUAGCUCCAUCCCAGAUCUGCUUUGAGCCUUCAGGCCGUUUUGCAAGGCCAUCUUCCCCUCUUAGAUCCGCAGCGCUCUUUGGCCUGGAGAUUAGUUUGGAGACACACGGGCUCAGUUGAACUAACACCCAGACACUUGACAUCUUCUCUCUGUGGGAGAAAGGGUUAAACAUUUAAUUGGAGCUCACACUGACCAAGACGCGAUGAAUUCAAAGAUGUAAUAGGACGACAAGUGACUUAAUUUAAAAGUAAGAUAAAUAAUUGGCACUUUUUGGGUACAAUAUUCUUACGUCCUUAUCUCACCGUCAACUGAGUUUAUGUUAUUUCAGUUCAGGGGUCAAACUAUCACCUUGACAGACCACAUCAUUCUUUUAGUCUAAACGUCGUGUGAGGCCAAGUGGAGGCUGCAAGACUUUAGUUUUAGACAGGUAUCGGUUAUUUAGAAAAGCGUAAUUUAUUUAUGUAUUUAUGUUUAUUUUCUUUGUAUCAUUUAAUGUGAUUCAUGGUCAACUUCAUUAUGUAGCGCACUUUGUUGCAGCUGUGGUUGUUGUAUAAAUGCUCUAUGAAUAAAGUUGUGUUGAGUUAAA